UUGCCCAGGCUGGUCUUGGACUCUUGACCUCAUGUGAUCUGCCUGCCUUGGCAUCCCAAAGUGCUAGGAUUACAGGCAUGAGCCACUGUGCCCAGCCCAGGCUCUGGGAAUAUUGAGAUAAAUAAGAUGCUUCUAUCCAUUUAUUCAAGCACAUAUUGGUCACCUACUGUGUGCCUGGCACUCAUGUCACAAAGAUAAGUUCCUGAUUCGGUACACUUACUGAGCACCUGCUGUGUGCAGGGAGCUGAGCUAUGGGAUGGGAAUGGGAGUAAACAAGGUACUUUUUACUUUUUUCUUUUUUUCCUCACUGCUAGACGGUGUGGGAACUUCUCACUCAUUGGCUUCUUUCCCACACACCUGAAGAGCACUGACUGUGUGCCGGGCACUAGUGAUACAAAAGAGUGUGACAGUUGUUCAGUCUGCAUUUUCGAUCAUGGGCUACAUGCCGAGUGCUGGGGCACAGAGAUGAACAAGAUCGGUUCCUUCACUUCUUCAUGCCACAAGUGUUUAUUGAGCACCUGUGUGCCAGGCCUCACAGACUCCCAGUUGGGUUGAAGAAUGGUUGACUGAGUUUGAUUCUUCCUGUACCCUCGGUCGUCUGAGCUGUGUGCAGACAACAUCCCCCCACCACCCAAGAGGGAGGGUAGCUCUUCCGCCACCAGGGGCAAGCACAGGUCCUGGUGGCCCCACGCCACAUGUUAGCCCCCCUGGAGGGGGCGCCAGUUGGAGACGGGGGCUGGGUGUCCCUGGCCCACUCCCGGUCCCCUGUGCUUUACCUCCUUGCCCUUGUGUCUCAGGUGUGGUCCCUGCCUGCUUGAUGAAGUUGCUCUGUUCAAGCCUUUGGUGGGAUCAUGUGUUUGGGGGCUUUUAGGGGACCCAGCUGCACUGGGGCACUGCCCGUGGCCUGGGUAGGACAUUUCCCAGCAAGGGCUGGAGGAGUUGCCGUGCCUUCAGCCUGAAUCGAAUGUCAGAACCAGCCAGCGGUGCUUCACCCUCUUGGGGAUAACUUGCUUAGUUUUUUAAUAAAUGUUCCUGGUUGGUUUUCACA
rnacentral:lncRNA from 1 species